GGACUACAGGGGUAUCUAAUCCUGUUUGAUCCCCACGCUUUCGUGCCUCAGUGUCAAUACUCGUGUAGCAAGCUGCCUUCGCUAUCGGUGUUCUAUGUCAUAUCUAAGCAUUUCACCGCUACAUGACAUAUUCCGCUUACCUCCACGAGAUUCAAGAUUUAUAGUAUCAACGGCAGUUUCCAAGUUAAGCUUGGAGAUUUCACCACUGACUUACAAACCCACCUACGCACCCUUUAAACCCAGUGAAUCCGGAUAACGCUUGCACCCUCCGUAUUACCGCGGCUGCUGGCAC
rnacentral:rRNA from 1 species